rnacentral:rRNA from 1 species
AUGGAGGAACAAAUAGAAGCAGAAGAGAAGGAGUGGGGUUACGAUUCAUCUGAUGAGGAUUACUCAUACGAUGAAGACUCUAACGGACAACAAGUGAGAAGGAAGAGCAGGUUUCCUAGAUACAAUAAUGAGACAGAGAUUCCACAUUUUAGCUUGACGAUGGUAUUCAGAAGCAAGAACUAGUUGGUGAAAGCACUGAAGAGGUAUGGACUGGUCACCAAAAGGAGCAUCGUGUUCCUUAAAUCAGAGUCAGAUAGGGUUAGGGCCAUAUGUGGAUGGGAUGGUUGCCCUUGGUUGCUCUAUGCUUCAAAAAACUCAAGAACCAACAGGUUCCAAAUAAGCACAUUCAAUGAUGAGCACCAUUGUGCACAUAACAGAAACAAUAGGCUUGUGACUGCGAAAGUUAUUGCACAGCGGUACGAGCAUUUUAUUCUAGCUAAUCCUAUG